GCUCCCGUAGCUCAGGUGGAUAGAGCAGUGGUUUCCUAAACCAUGUGCCGGAGGUUCGAGUCCCCCCGGGAGCG
rnacentral:tRNA from 1 species